CAGGCCUAACACAUGCAAGUCGAGCGCCCUCUUCGGAGGGAGCGGCGGACGGGUUAAUAACGCGUGGGAACAUACCCUUUUCUACGGAAUAGCCUCGGGAAACUGAGAGUAAUACCGUAUACGCCCUACGGGGGAAAGAUUUAUCGGUGAAGGAUUGGCCCGCGUUGGAUUAGGUAGUUGGUGGGGUAAUGGCCUACCAAGCCUACGAUCCAUAGCUGGUUUGAGAGGAUGAUCCGCAACACUGGGACUGAGACACAGCCCAGACUCCUACGGGAGGCAGCAGUGGGGAAUCUUAAACAAUGGGCGCAAGCCUGAUCUAGCGAUGCCGCGUGAGUGACGAAGGCCUUAGGGUCGUAAAGCUCUUUCGCCAGGGAUGAUAAUGACAGUACCUGGUAAAGAAGUCCCGGCUAACUCCGUGCCAGCAGCCGCGGUAAUACGGAGGGGACUAGCGUUGUUCGGAAUUACUGGGCGUAAAGCGUACGUAGGCGGAUUAGUUAGUCAGAGGUGAAAUCCCAGGGCUCAACCCUGGAACUGCCUUUGAUACUGCUAGUCUUGAGUUCGAGAGAGGUGAGUGGAAUUCCGAGUGUAGAGGUGAAAUUCGUACAUAUUCGGGGGAACACCAGUGGCGAAAGCGGCUCACUGGCUCGAU
rnacentral:rRNA from 1 species